rnacentral:tRNA from 1 species
GUUUUAAUAGUUUAUAAUUAUAAAAUAUUGAUUUUGUAAAUCAAAGAAAAAAAAAUUUUUUAAAACU